AUAUGCAGCGAGAUUCUUCAAAUUAGAAAUCAUUUAUCAUUAAACAAUUUAUCUGUUUGCGAUUAAAGAACUGUUCAGUGGUUAUGAGAUUUAUUAAUUUGCUAUUUUCUUCGUAAUUGCAAGAAGCGGACCAAACUCCGAAGGCGUGAGUUCAGUAUGGGAUGAAACUGAUAGUGAUUAGUGUGUGCUAAGAAGCCAGAAGUAUUUGUGUGCUUCGCUUAAAUUUUAUUUUGCUCAUUUUUCCUUCGGAAAUCGGCUAGGAACUGUGGUUACAAGUAGGUUUCGUCACCGGUGAACGGGAUGUGAAGUCGAGGAUUCCAUAAAUAUUACAUAGGCAGAAAGCAUCAAUGGAGCCUGGAAGGUCAAGAUGGAUCAGAAAUAAUACAAUGUUUAGCAGCUGCAAGACGAGCCAACGUGAAUUCAAGUUAAACAAAAUUGUAUCACCAAAUAGUGUGACAAUGGAAUUCAUGGAACAACUUCAGCGCGAGAAAACAGGAUUCCUGGAACCCGAACUAACUCGAGAACUACGGUGGAAAUUCCAAAAAUAUUCAGUGCUAUCGUUUGGAGCGACCGACGGCUUUUUACUGGGAUGUGUCUAGUCCUUGGACCCAAUGGGAAGUGUCAAGUGUUGUAUCGUUGAUCGGAUUAUUCUGCACCUAUUUUGUAGAUCCAGUUUUGCUCAAAAGGUCACCAAUCGGAAAACCACAAGUUGCCGGUAGUGAUAGUAUUAUAAUUGGUUUUAAGAGUAAGAAACCCACCGUCGUUUCACCCACAAGAGGAUGUACGAAGUAACUUCCAAUUUUUAUAAUAAAAUAACAAUUAAACAACGCAGGAUGAUAUCGCACGUGAUCAUCAUCAGACGAGAUGGUAUUAGUUGCCAAAAUCAGCUAAAACCAUUCAUCACAUUCCAUUUAUAUCUCAACUUAGGUGAACGAGGCCAGGCACGGAACAACGUUGUUAUGUAGGAAGGGAUCGUGGAGUACUACUAACUAAAAUAGAUACUAGAGUAAAAUGAUUCAAACGAAAUAAAG